rnacentral:rRNA from 1 species
UGGGGAAUAUUGGACAAUGGGCGAAAGCCUGAUCCAGCCAUGCCGCGUGUGUGAAGAAGGUCUUCGGAUUGUAAAGCACUUUAAGUUGGGAGGAAGGGCAGUAAGCGAAUACCUUGCUGUUUUGACGUUACCGACAGAAUAAGCACCGGCUAACUCUGUGCCAGCAGCCGCGGUAAUACAGUGGGUGCAAGCGUUAAUCGGAAUUACUGGGCGUAAAGCGCGCGUAGGUGGUUCGUUAAGUGGAAUGUGAGAGCCCCGGGCUCAACCUGGCAACUGCAUGUACAACUGGCGAGCUAGGGUGGGGCAGAGGUGGGUGGAAUUGCCUGUGUAGCGGUGGAAUGCGUAGAUAUAGGGAGGAACACCAGUGGCGAAGGCGACCACCUGGGCUUAUACUGACCCUGAGGUGCCAAAGCGUGGGGAGCAAACAGG